rnacentral:tRNA from 1 species
GCGUGGCAUAGUGGUUUGAGUGGUGGAUUAUGACUCUGGAGACCAGGGUUCAAUUCCCUGCUUGCC